AAAAGGCCAUGGUUGGAUCACAAAGUAUGUACAUUGUUAACUUUUAGAUGAUAUCUCCAAAAAGGUUAAAACGCUUCACCACUGCCCUUCCCAUGAGCUCCUCCUUAGAAUAUCAUGUGUACUAUGGGAAGGGGCAGCCUGACCUGGGCUACCUUCAAGUCGAUGCAGUUGUCAUUGCUGUUCUUGGAAAUCAGCUGAUCCCUGUAUUGGGCAGUGCACCCGGGCCAGCUCUGCCAGGCCCAGUGAGGGUGACAUACCCACACCAGCCUGUCCACACCUCUUCCUCUGCCAGAAACUAAAGCACAUGGAGGAAUGUGUGGGUCAUCACAGAAGUAAUGCUUUCUGAAGUCCUGGGUUCAUCUAAAUGGUUCAGGGACAAGCAGAGAGGCCUCACAGCCAAGAGAAGUUUCCAGGCCUCUCUCUGCCAUGAUCCCUUCUCUGAUUCGCCUCCAGUGAUGCCCUCUCUACUCUGCCCAUUCGUCGUCCAUCAGCACCCUUCCUUUCCCACCCCAAGGUGCUGAGAACCUCCAGGGGCCCCAGAGAAGCCAGAGAGAACUCAACACCAGUCCCUCUAGCCAAACAAUCAGCAAACGAAGAUAACUUUAAAGAGUGUCAAGCCCAACUUUAUGACUCCCUCAUAGGCACCAAGGGCAUUGUCUCAAAAGCCUAAGCCACCAGACAGGAUAACCCAGGACUGCUUGUCGGUUGACCUGCUGAGACCAACUAUGACUCAUCUGUUUACUGCGGAACGGAGGUAACGUGGGAUGCAAAGGUUGACAGCCACCUCCCGGGAGACCGUCGGACCUGGAAAUCAGGGCCCUGGGUUUCAACCGGAAAUGUUUACACUGGCACAGACCCAAGAUGGAUGGAGGGCCACGUCACGGAGAGCUGAGUGAGCACAUGCACACAUUUUAAGGGACCGGGGUCUUCACAGCUGACCGGCUGGUCACUCUCUCCGCUGCGCUGAGCAGCCUGGAGGCUAGCGGUCAUCACUUACAUGUGCUCUGCUACUUACACUUGGAUUUAUAACCACACUUUCCCACGACCGCAUUUUCUUUCUUGGCAGAGGAUUAAGGGCAGCAAUAAUAAACACGUAAUAAUAGUGAUAUUGGUCUCAUUUAUUAAUGGCAUAUUAUAUCUGGGGGCAUUAUGUCUUUCAGGUGAUAUACA